UACGUAGGGUGCAAGCGUUGUCCGGAAUUAUUGGGCGUAAAGAGCUCGUAGGCGGUCUGUUGCGUCCGCUGUGAAAACUCGGGGCUUAACCCCGAGCCUGCAGUCGAUACGGGCAGACUAGAGUGCUGUAGGGGAGACUGGAAUUCCUGGUGUAGCGGUGAAAUGCGCAGAUAUCAGGAGGAACACCGGUGGCGAAGGCGGGUCUCUGGGCAGUAACUGACGCUGAGGAGCGAAAGCGUGGGGAGCGAACAGG
rnacentral:rRNA from 1 species